rnacentral:sRNA from 14 species
UACGGAAUCAAAGGCAGUAUUCGCAUUAUCCACAGAAGAA